GGGUCAUGGGUGGAACUCGAACCAAACGACCCCUAGAUCUAUUUCGGCGUUUUGCGUGUCCAUUUACCUAGAGAAAGCCAAGUACCAAAACCUCUUCCCGGCGGCCAAAUCUGAUGUUCCCGAUUCAAAUUCCCACCCCGGCGGCCGCCGGCCUUGUUCGCACCCUUACAACGCCGCCGUCAGCUUUCCAAUCUACCACCCACGCGCCGUUUCUCAGCGGUGUCAUUAACAGCGCUGCAGCCCGCAGCUGCCGCAAGCGCCGCUACGCCGAUGCCCACGAGGGCGCCUCCUCACCUCGCCGCCGCCGCCGCCGCCGCUUCCUCCUCGUCCCCAACUCGUUCCUGGCCGGCCGGUCCUUCGCUCUCCGUACUCUCGCUAGCGCCCUCCACAAGCGCCGCCACGACGCCGCCACCUCCUCGGCUCGCCCCUCCAGUCGCCGCCUCCGCCUUCUAAGCCCCGUCCUUUUCCCCGCCCUCCGGCCGCUUAGCCCCCGCGUUUCGCUAGCCACCGCCCCGCGUAGCCACCGCAAGAUUCACGUCGACGACGCCCGCCGCGCCGUCUCUACUCCCUGUCGCCGCCGCAGACGUAGCAGUCUGCUUCCCAGGGUCAGACACUUCCGCCCAUUCGCACUCCGUUUCCUCCUCACGCCCGGUGCAUUAAGCCCUCACCGUCGCCGGAAACCCGCCGAGGUAGACAUGGGCAACCUCAUCUCACAGUUACUGUGGAAGAGCACCAGGGACGGUGUAUCAGAGGCGCACACGAAGCGGCUCGAUGGGUCGCCGGAAGUGGUGGAUCUCACAGUGGAGCCAGAGCUUGAAAAUAACGAUGCCGUGGGGAGGAUGUUUGGAGACCGGAGCGUCCCUGCACUGGGGUCAUCAAAGUCGCCGGAGAAGAAGGCAACGUUCUACGAGGAGCCGCACGGUAGAAGAUUACAGGAGUCAGGAUUCAAGAAGCUCAAGCUUGCCGAGCUGCCUGAUCCGCUGGACAAUACGUCUAAGGAGGAUCUAUCUGAACUAUUCACACCUCUAAGUGACAAAGACGAAAGAGAAGUCAAUGCUCUGUUGUGUAGUAGUGAUGACAGUGAUAAAAUCGUAGUGAUACAUACGCCUUCUAACAUCGAGAUUACUAAAGAGAAACUUCAAUGCUUGAGGCCUCGUGGGUGGUUGAAUGAUGAGGUCAUUAAUCUGUACAUUGAACUGUUAAAGGAGAGGGAAAAAAGGGAACCCAACAGGUUUUUGAAAUGCCAUUUCUUCAAUACAUUCUUCUACAAGAGGCUUACUUGCGGAAUAGCUGGUUAUGAUUACCAGUCUGUUAGGAGAUGGACAACAUUCAAGAGGCUGGGUUAUGGACUUGUCGAGUGUGAGAAAAUCUUUGUUCCAGUGCAUAGAAAUGCACAUUGGUGUUUGGCACUAAUAAACAUGAAGGAUAAAACAUUGCAGUAUCUUGAAUCUCUUGUUGGUUGGGGCCGUGAUGUACUGGACAUACUGGUAUAUAUAAUUGAUAUUCAUUAUCAAGAAAGCAAAAUUACAAAGUACGAUGUUCUUCAUAAAAGGACCCAGCACAAAAUUAAAGGGCCUGCAAGAUUUCUCUAUUGUUGGAUUGAAGCACUACAGUUAAAUUUUCUGUCUGGCAGGCUAGAUACAUCGUGGAUGAAUUGAAGGACAAGAGUAACAUAGAGGUAGAACCUAGUUCGUGGACUGUAGUGUCAGAGUCUUUGCCCUUGCAGCAGAACGGGUGGGACUGUGGCAUGUUUAUGCUUAAAUACAUUGAUUUCCAUAGCAGAGGUAUCAAACCAUCUUUCAGUCAGGAACACAUGAUGUAUUUUAGGAAACGAAUAGCAAAAGAGAUCAUGGCAUUAAGAGCCGACUGAAGAACACCAUUCUGACAUUGUCUCAAGUCAGAUGGAUAAACAACUGUGAACCUAGGAGCAACUUCAAACUUUUCAGGUUCAAAUCAUAAAGCUGUACCGAGCUGGACACAUGUCUGCACUUGAACAACAAACCACCAACCACUACAGUUUCUCUAUUUCUCUAGUUAGCUAGGAGCACAAGGCAGAACAUUGAAUGCUGAUAGAGGGUAGAUCACCCCAUUUCACAAAAACUUGUGGCAAACCAAUAGCAAUCUUAACAAAUCGAAUCAUCUUCCCACCAGUAGAAAUGUGACUGACUGGCUACUUAGAUGCCUAAAAAUGCUCUGCACAGUGACUCCCAAUGCUCCUUAGCCAGGCGAACACGUUCAACUCGCUCCAACCGCGUUCUCUUCUAAGGGCUUGUGCUUACCUGUGUCUCAGCAGCAUGUUGAGUGCAUCCAGGUGCAUAGCGUCAGAAAAGACCCCUUGCUGAACAUCAACUGGUGUGACGGAUGCAGCAGAACAGCAGCAUAGGUAGCAGAAUAUGUGGCCACAUGAAAGAGAGACCGGAUCAAACAUUGUGUCCUGUAAAUAAAUAAAACAUGGAAGGAUGAAGAGUUUGGUUAUGGAUUUUAAAUAGAGAGGACAGAGAAGGAUGCAUUGUGCUCUUAAUCCAAGUCUGUCUACAGAGCACUGUACUCGUCAGAAGUGCAAACUCACCAGGCAUAUGGAUUAUGGAACAUGUAAGGCUAAUAUCAACACGCAUGAAGUCCAAGAGGUUGGACGAGAGCGUUGGCCUGUCGUCGUCGCCGUCGCCAAAGAGCUCCAUUGCACCAUUAUUCAGCUACACAGCCAUGGGGAUUGGAGGAUCUCGAUGUGGAGACUCUGGGCUUGAGCUUUGAACUCUUGCCCUUGCUUUGAGCAGUGGAUCUCAUCAUCUUCUUGGCUAAAAACAGUCACCUUUUUGCAUGCCAAAACGGAAUGGAACCUGGCUCUCAUCAUCUUCCUCCACGACUCCACCACUUUGCCAAAGCCCGUAAUAUGUUUUUUUUUAAUAAAUGUGUUCCACUGUUUAUUUA